ACUCAAAGGAAUUGACGGGGGCCCGCACAAGCGGCGGAGCGUGUGGUUUAAUUCGAUGCAACGCGAAGAACCUUACCAGGGUUUGACAUGCUAGUGGUACGGAUCUGAAAAGUGAAGGACCCUUCGGGGAGCUAGUGCAGGUGCUGCAUGGCUGUCGUCAGCUCGUGCCGUGAGGUGUUGGGUUAAGUCCCGCAACGAGCGCAACCCUCGCCGUCAGUUAAAUCUCUCUGACGGGACCGCUGGGAUAAACCCAGAGGAAGGUGGGGACGACGUCAAGUCAGCAUGGCCCUUACACCCUGGGCUACACACACGCUACAAUGGCCGGCACAAUGGGUUGCCAAGGCGCGAGCCGGAGCUAAUCCUCCAAAACCGGCCCCAGUUCAGAUUGCAGGCUGCAACUCGCCUGCAUGAAGGCGGAGUCGCUAGUAACCGCAGGUCAGCACACUGCGGUGAAUACGUUCCCGGGCCUUGUACACACCGCCCGU
rnacentral:rRNA from 1 species